UACGUAGGGUCCGAGCGUUGUCCGGAAUUAUUGGGCGUAAAGAGCUCGUAGGCGGUUUGUCGCGUCUGCUGUGAAAUCCCGAGGCUCAACCUCGGGUCUGCAGUGGGUACGGGCAGACUGGAGUGCGGUAGGGGAGAAUGGAAUUCCUGGUGUAGCAGUGGAAUGCGCAGAUAUCAGGAGGAACACCGAUGGCGAAGGCAGUUCUCUGGGCCGUAACUGACGCUGAGGAGCGAAAGCGUGGGGAGCGAACAGG
rnacentral:rRNA from 1 species